AAAAAAUAGACCUACGAAGGUUAACCAACGAAAAAAGACCUACGAAGGUUAACCAGCGACGAAAAAACCUAAACCUAUCGCCCGCUCCCUCGCGCCCCUGUUGCUCCCUCCUCAAUCCCGAUCUGGAUCGAGGGGACGAGGAGCUCCUGCCUCCCCGACGGCCGGCCUCCUCCUCGCCCCGCCGCUGCAUCCGGCGCCGCCACGGGCUCUGGAGCCAGGGAAGCCAUGGCCUGAGCUCGGCCUCGAGGUCCCCCCGCCGUCUCCUGCAGCUUCUGCCCCGCCGCCUCAACGCCCGAGCUCGCCAUCACACCAACCUCGGCGCCGCGCCGCCGCCGGCUCUGGUCGCCUCCACCUCCGCUCCAGGCAACCCUCGGUCGCCGGCUCGCUGGAGCACGACGGCAGACGAUGGAUGCCCUGGUUGUGUGCGACGGUUGCAGUUCUUACGCGCAAGCUAGGGUUGGAGCCGCCAGCUCUUCAUCCUGCCCGCCGGCGGCGAGUCUUCCCGUCCCGCACUGCCGCCUCCCCGUUAUCACAGCAUGGUCAAAACAAUGGUGCCUUCACCCUUGCUCGUGCCUCAACCCACAUGGUCAUCUUUGAGACGUGGUAUUCAGUCACAUGACAGAUUUCUCUUUAUCCUUGAGGUCAGGUGCGGCAACUAGCGACAUGUGCUGGAACUUCUGGCUUCGCUGGCGGCGGCAUCACCUGCAUCGACCUCUCCCUGGUCGCCUUCGAGAGUGUGUGCGGCCGACCAUCAAGCUUGUUAUGACGCACUUUGAAUUUCCGAGCAAGUCGCAGCCUUUUCAGAUUCAUCAACACAGGUUACAUCAGUAGUCAAUAUGGUUCAGAUGCAUAAUAGUACGUACUUCAUUUCCUUUUUGUUGUGUACGGUGUCCUACAACAUGGAUCAUAUAUAUCGGUUAUCUUUCAGGUUCAGUUUGCUGUGGCGAAUUCUUCUUGAAUUUGUUGCAGCAAACUUGUGGUCAUGUAUGGUUUUUAGUUUUGCAAGCAUGCAUAGUUUAGAAGUUAGAAAGCUCGUUCAUGUAUUGUUCUAAACUGAAAGUUUAAGUGGCUUUUCCACCCAUGGUAUUGUGGUGGUCAUAAUAGCACACCUCACAAUUAUUAUGGCCAGAUCUACAAGCACUGAGCGUUGUGUUUUUUAGCCCCCUCUGUUUCUCCUGGGCAUCAAUCUAUGCGCAACAAGCUCUUCAGUGCUUGAUGACAAAUAAAGGUUGCAUCUUAGAUAUUUGCUUGAUUUGAAUGAGCCAUUUUGCUGUCAGCUAAACUGUUAAAAGUCAGAUGUAAGAUUAUGUUUCUUGGCACAUGAGUUAUUUUUCAGUCAACGCGUGGCGAGUCCACUUCGAACUGAUAUAUGCACUUUUUAUUUGAAACUGAACCACCAUGGUUUAAUUUUAUUUUCAUUUGGACAAGUUACCCCAAGUAUCAUCAGUUCAUGAUGACUGGUUUGGUGUGAUGAAUUGAUCCUGGUGCUGAUUUAAGAGUUUUUUAUGACGCUGUCUUGUAAGGGAGUAAGGUCUGGUAUCUAUAUGGCUGUUAUUUUAGCUCUUACAGAUUGCCAUAUAUGACAUGCUAAUUGUUUUUAGCUCUUGAUAUAGUUAAACUUUUUUUUUCGAAACGGAGGCAAAAGAUUUGCCUCAUCCAUUAAAUGGGAGGAGAAUAGAGUUAAACUUUGGAUGCACCAGUGCCUGAUGCAUAUGUUUGUUUACUUGGUUUGAACUCUGAAUGAUAUGUUGUUAUCCUGCACGCAUGCCUGAUGAGUUGGUGCUGCUGGUAUUUUGAGGAGGCAAGUUGUGGUUUUACUCCUGGCCCUGAGAAGGGUGAACUAGGCCAUAGCGAGGGCGCCUUCAGGAACAUCGAGUCAGGGUGCCUCACUUUCUAUUUCAGUCUGCGAGGUUUUCAACAUCACGAAUUUCAUACUUAUGGAGUGGAGCUACCAAAAUAUCUAUUGAGGAAAUAUGUCGAAGCACAGAAUAUAUUCCAUAUGCAGUGGACUAACAGAACGACACAACACAUAAAAAGAGGAGUAUAAGUGGAAACCUUUCUUUCUCUUUAAAUUCUUGAGGACUGUAACAUUAUGAUGAAGGUGGAACCAUAGAGAGAUGUGUAUUUUUAAUUGAGAUAUUUUUAGGAGUACCUUUGCAAAGCUGAUAUAUCUUUCUUUUACAAGAUAUGGUUGCACUUGCUUCAUCUACAUAGGCCGUCUGGAAUGCCAUGAGGCCGGGAUUUGUGUAGGAAAUCUUCAAAGCUAUUAUAUUGGUCUCAAGAAACUUGCAAUACAUCAAUGCAUUUUUAUUUUUAUUUUUUUGCUGACACCACAGCUACCACCUCUUCACUAAAUGACAGAGGUUGCCAGCAGCUGCACAUGGAAAGAUUGAAUGUUAUAUUCUGUCUACUAAUCAAUAAGGAGGGAGAUCAAAAUUAAUGCUCUCAAAUAUUCGCCUGAUCAUUUGUAUGUUUCUGCAAUUUUCCUGCUUGUUGGAACAUGUUUGAUGUACUUACACAUUAACAAAAAUGAUCUGUAACAUUCAUGAAAAUAUUUGGGUUUGG
rnacentral:rRNA from 1 species